rnacentral:rRNA from 1 species
AACUAACGCUGGCGGCGUGCCUAACACAUGCAAGUCGUACGAGAAAGUUGGCUUCGGCCGAUGAGUACAGUGGCGCACGGGUGAGUAACGCGUGGAUAAUCUGCCCUUAAGUGUGGAAUAACGUACCGAAAGGUGCGCUAAUACCGCAUAAUGCCUGGCAACAUAAGUUGUCCGGCCAAAGAAGGCCUCUGCUUGCAAGCUUUCGCUAAAGGAUGAGUCCGCGUACCAUUAGCUAGUUGGUGGGGUAACGGCCUACCAAGGCGACGAUGGUUAGCUGGUCUGAGAGGAUGAUCAGCCACACUGGAACUGAGACACGGUCCAGACUCCUACGGGGAGGCAGCAGUGAGGAAUAUUGCGCAAGUGGGGGCAACCCUGACGCAGCAACGCCGCGUGAGUGAGGUAAGGUUUUCGGACUAGUAAAGCUCUGUCGAGCGGGAAGAAGUGUACCAUGGCUAAUAUCCAUGAUUAUUUGACGGUACCGCUAGAGG